rnacentral:rRNA from 1 species
GAUGAACGCUGGCGGCGUGCCUAACACAUGCAAGUCGAACGAACAGACCAGGAGUUUGCGCCUCUGACGUUAGCGGCGGACGGGAGAGUCACUUGUGUAUAACCUACCUGUUAGACUGGGAUAACUACGGGAAACGGGAGCUUAUACCGGAUAAUAUAUUGCACCACGUUGAGCAAUAGUAAAAGACGGUUUUGGGGGCUCUAAUAGCUGACUCCGCGCCGGAUUAGCUAGUUGGUAAGGGGACGGCUUACCCAGGCUACGAUGCGUAGGCGACCUGAGAGGGUGGUCGGCCAGCCGGGAAGAGAGACAGGGUCCAGACUCCUGCGGGAGGCAGCAGUAGGGAAUCUUCCGCAAUGGGGGAGAGCCUGACGUAGCAACGCCGGGGGAGGGAUGAACGACUUCGGAUCGGAAAACGCCGUAGUUAGGGGGGAAGAAAUGUGUAAUUAACCAUGAACGUCUUGACGGUACCUGAUCAAAAAGCCACGGCUAACUACGUG